UGUAAGUAUAAUCAUAAAUUUUCGUGUCCAACUUUGAUCAUCCGUCUUAUUUGAAAGUUUGUUAUGAUUAGUAUUUUAUCGUUAUUAGAUGAUAAAAUAUAAAUAGUACUUUAUGCACGACUCAUAUUUUUUAACUUUUCAAAAAAAAACCUUUUAAAUAAGACGGACGAUCAAAAUUGCACACGAAAAAUCAUGGCUGUAUUUUAA
rfam:Oryza glumipatula chromosome 4, whole genome shotgun sequence.